ensembl:lincRNA
AUGUUUAGAAACACCCUUCAUGUGCUGCCAGUACAUGUACUACAUGUGCUACAUGUGCUACAUGUGCUACACCCUUCAUCUACUACCGAAUGUCCCUUCAAAUAUUCUUCUCACACACCUGUGAAUCUCUGCCAGCUGAGAAGACGCCACCGACUGGAAGUGCAGCAGGGGCCCACGCAUGGACGUCAGAGCUGCUCUAUCCCCACGCAACAAGAUGAAGCAAAGCCUACCUCGCUCUCCUGUGGCUUCCCGGCUCCAGGACUGAACCCGCACUGCACUGCAGAUCUCCCCAGCCUCCUAGGUGAGGUGAGCCUCAGCAGCUCUCAUUCAACUGCACGGCCGGGAGGUGAGAAGAAGUGGAGGGUGAGCCCUGGACCAGGCUCUGUGGCCCCAGAGACGAGAUGAGGCACCGCCUGCCUGGGCUGGUGGCUGCAGGAAGAAGCCAGAGGGCCAUGUGGCUGCAGGAGGGGGCGGAGGCUGGGGAGGGAGCCACAGGGGACAGCAAUAAAUACGAGUUCCUCUCCGUGCCCCGUGCCUCUCCCCAGCCUCCCUGGAGGAAAUGAGAAAUUUAGCCUUGUCCACUGGUCACUGGGAAGCAGAGAAUAAACACGCUGAGAACCACACAGCUGAGACUAAGCAGGACAGCAGCAGGAGCUGACGGGUGGCCUCACCUUUCACCAAGUACUUUCUUCCUGAAGUCUCUGCAAAGUCAAGAACGCCCUCAUCCUGUCCCCCCAAGCUGAAGAGUACUGGAGCCACGGUUCAGAUGUUCCACAGCUGGCCAGCUAGGGAGGGCCCUGAAGAAUCUGUCCCUGGCCACCUCAGGAGAGACCCUCUCUCUGGCAUCUUUGGAGAGAGCCUGGUGACCUUCCUUUGCUAAUCUUGGCAAAGCUUAGAAGGUUCUCGGGCUGUUUUGCCCUGAGGCUUCAAGAAUUGUCUGAAGGCUCCACCUGUAGACUGCUGGGAGCGGCCCCUCCCCAUCAUUUGUGGGGUGCAGAGAAACAUGUCGAAAAGCCACUCAUUCAAAAAUUUAAAAUUUCAAGAUGGCAACAAUAGAGCAUGAAAUCCCAAGCAGGGCCCCGCCGAGCCAAGAUCUCUGCAGCUGAACCGGGUGCGCCCUCAGGAGGCCAGCACGGCUGCAGGAGGAAGACUAGGAGGCAUUGCGUUUAACAGGCUGAGUGCGGAGAGGUGUGGAUGCGCCCCGCUUUGCCCUGUAAGGUGGAGGUCACCCCCUGAACACAACACCCACCGAAGCGGCACAAGGGGGAUGCCGGGCUGUGGUGGCGGCACUGUGUUAAAACCUCACUGUGGUCUCCUUGCUCGAUUCUCAGCUCUCCCCGGUGCAAUCUCUCCCAGUGCUGGAGAAGUCCCUCCCAGGGCAGCCUUCCAGAGUCAGUUCCCAUGCCUAAUAUCUAGCUAAGAACAGAGGCCAAAUGCUUUGGCUCGUCACAGGCUGGCCUCUCCUACACUACCUGCAGCCCUCAGGUCCUCUCCUCGCUCUCCCCCUCGGUCCCGCCUUCCCCAUCUCUCCUGUUCAUGGCUCUGCGCGGGAACCGUGUCCUCCUCCUGUCAUGUAGGCCUGAGUCUCACACCUUCGGGCUCCCGUUCCCUGAGUCCUGGCCCUCUGUGACUCUUCCCAGGCGGAGCUCAUCUCUCCUCUCCUAACACUCCAAGCAGGAAACCUGUCUGCACAUCCCUCUGCCUCCCGCUGGGCUCACACUGCGACAUCCUGCACUGGGUCUGCUGCAGCUUUAAAACCAAGGCUCCAGACCCCAGGCCCCAGACCCCAGCAGUGUCUGAUUCCUGUAAACUCAAGGUUAAUAGGAAGUGUUAUUAAUUAUAGGUACCUUCAGGGGAAAGAGAAAAUGUAUAGCUCAGAGGGAAACAAGAUCUUCAUUAGGGUUUUAGAGUUGAAACUCUGACAGACACAGAGGCAGCACGUCACAGGCGACACUGAUGUGGCUAUUUGCUAAAAUGUCACCAUUUCCAUGUGCUGUACCUCUCUGCCUUCACACAGACAGGUCAGGAGUAGGGGACAACGUCCUCCGUGCAGAAAAUGAAGGCUUAGCCUCACCUAAGAGAAGGAGAACAUGUUAGCAAGGCUGGAGAUAAAGCUGCUGGAGGUGAGGCAGGAGAGAAAGAAAGGAGUGAACACAAAAAGGGAAAGGGGGAGGCAUUGGGAGGAGCAAAGAGAAAGAAUGAAGAUGGGAGGUGUGGAAAGCAGACAGGGUGGGGACAGGAAGGAGGAGGAGCACUCUCCCAGGUUGCCAUUUCCUCCUCCAUAAGCACCCAAAGGGCAGGUCUUCGGUCUGCGUGUCUUGCCAGGUGCUGCACUGUCCCUGUUCCCUGGUGAUCGAGAGCAGAGGGGCACAGGAAUUAGCUUCUGCCUUUGCUUGGACUUUGACACACUGUCAAAGCCACACACUCAUCUGUCGUUUCAUGUCUCUGAACACUUCCAGAACAAUAUCAGCACCGGAAUUUCUGAUGGGUGUUCUGUUCUUUCUCAGGGUCCUCCUGAGUCUAGUGGUCACUUGAUGAGUUUAUAAAGUCUGGGUGUGGCUGACAGGUCCCCCCACUGUGGCCACCUGGCUGAGUACAAAUGACUGUAACAGAGAUCCAUUGGCUAGCACUCAUAAAGACAAUCCAAAUAUGUAUGAUUCUGAAUAUCUAGUUGUGUGCACUGAAUUGGAAUUUAAUAUCUGCAUAAUCCAUAACAAAACAAAGAUAGCUAUUAAAUCAAUUGCUCAAAUUUUCAUCCGGAAGGUUCAAUUUGGUUCCUAAUGAAUGAAUAUGGCUUGCAGUGGAGAUGAAGUGUCAGGGGGAUAGCAAAAGACUUCCAAAUGGAAGCACAUAUCUGAUUAUCCUGUCAGAAGAGCACUGAGUGUGAUUUAGAAAACACUUUGUUGAAGGCUGGAUCUCUAGAAGAUGUAGCUGAAUCUACAGGGAAUUUCUAAGGGACUAGCUUUCUCUAUUUUAUAAUUCUGAAAGAUGUAGGAACUAGUAGUAACACAAAUGACUCUUAUCCCCAGAAAUGAAGAUUACCUUUGUUUGGCACAGAUAUAAUUGAUUUCCAUCUUGCAGAAAUUAUUAUUCCAAACAUUCCCCCUUGAGUGCAUUAUAUUACCUGGUUUUAUAUCUCUGAGCAAAUCCAGUUCAGUGCUCUUGUCUAUGUAUAAAUAUCUGCUCUCAAGAUUUGCCUCGGAACUAGUAUAAUAUUCUCCCUGCCCUCUUAUUAACUCAUGGGUUAAAAUCCGUGCAACACGUGUAUUUUAUAUUUAUACAAGAGUUAUGAUUUCACCUUUCUGAAAACUAGCUUUCGACAGAAGGCAGGUGAUAAGCAGGAAUUCGCCAUGGUGGAAUUGUUUUCCUUAAAUAUUUUGACUAGUUUUAUAUGUUCCCUGAGUAUGUAAAAUAAAAACAGGGAACAAACUGUGUAGACGAUGAGAGUAAAGGCUGGGAGAAGGAAACAGCCGAAUACAGGUGCUCAGCUUGGCCUCCUGCAUACAGAGAGGAACAACAGCAGACACAUGGUGAGGUGGCUGCUGGAGGGAACGCUGGAAAUCAGCAGGGAAGAGAGCUUGUGUGGUUGAGAGAUUGGGACAGCAGCACAGAAAGAAAAAUGAAAUCCCCAGCAUCUGCACCCUGACUCCACAGCCUGGAGAGGGAGGAUGAGUGGAGAGUCCCAGACACCCUUCCCUGUGACAUGCUGGUGUCCUCCCUGCUGUGUGGGGUUCCAGUGUCCUUGUAAGCUUGCAGCCCACUCAAUUAAGUAGUCAAAAUACAUCCGUGGGACCUGCUGUGGAGAAGGAAUUCACAUCCUCUCCAGUGAACCCCAGGUGCUGGAGCCAGGGUCCUUCUUGAGAAAGAUACCAGGAGGCCUUAAUGCUGAAUUUUACUAAACUUUAAAGAAUGAAUGGCAGUUCUUCUCAAACUAUUUGAUACAACCAAAAGGAAGGAAACCUCCCAGAUUCAUUCUAUGAGACCAGAAUUACCCUGUUGUUAAAACCAGUUGAGGAUGCAGCAAAAAAGAAAAAUCUACAGUAAAAUCCUUGAUGACAAUAGAUGCAAAAAUUCUCAACAAAACACUAGCAAAUUGAGUUCAACAGAAUGAUGAGAAGAUCAUACACCACAGUCAAGUUGGCUGUGUCAUGAGGUUGGCUCGACACAUGCAGCUCAAUAAAUAUAAUGCAUCGUAUCCACAGAAUGAUGAGAAUCAUGCAAUUGUCUCAGUAGAUGCAAAAAACGAACUUCAUAAAAUUCACCAUUGCUUCAUGAGAAAAGCCUUGCACAAAUUAUGUUUAGUAGGAUCAUGUCUCAACAUAAUAAAGGCUGUAUAAGACACACACACAAUCAACAUCAAACUAAGUGGGAAAAUGCUGAAAGCAUUUCUUCUAUAAAGAAAGAUGAACUUGAGACAUUUGUAGGAAAAUGGAUGCACUUUGAGACCAUGUUAAUUGAAAAAAUCAGACAUACAAGCUUAAAUAUCUCAUUGUUUCUCUUAUAUGAGAAACCCAAAGUAUAAAUAAUUUAGAGAGCAAAAUAUAGAUAAUAAGAAACAGAGAGAGAGAGAGAGAGAGAGAGAGAGAGAGCUUUUGUAGGUGGGAAGGGACCAAAGAGGUGGAAGGAGCGGGGAGAGAGGUGAUAUGUUAUUUACAUGUACCAUUCCCCACAAUGGAUGCAAUCAUUAUGUCCUGAAAACUUAUACUAAUAAAAAUAUUUUUAAAAAAGAAUA